rnacentral:rRNA from 1 species
AACGAACGCUGGCGGCAUGCCUAACACAUGCAAGUCGAACGAGACCUUCGGGUCUAGUGGCGCACGUGUGCGUAACGCGUGGGAACCUGCCCUUAGGUUCGGAAUAACUCCCCGAAAGGUGUGCUAAUACCGGAUAAUGUCUUCGGACCAAAGAUUUCUCGCCUUUGGAUGGGCCCGCGUUGGUUUCGCUAGUUGGUAGGGUAAAAGCCUACCAAGGCGAGGAUCCAUAGCUGGUGGGAGAGGAUGAUCAGCCACACUGGGACUGAGACACGGACCAGACUGGGAGGGAAGGGAGGAGUGGGGAAUAUUGGACGAUGGACGAAAGCCUGAUCCAGCAAUGCCGCGUGAGUGAGGAAGGCGUUAGGGUUGUAAAGCUCUUUGACCCGGGAUGAUAAUGACAGUACCGGGAGAAUAAGCACCGGCUAACUCCGUG